rnacentral:tRNA from 1 species
GCGUCCGUAGCUCAAUUGGAUAGAGCAUCGGUCUUCGGAACCGAUGGUUAGGGGUUCGAGUCCCUUCGGACGCA